AGACUGCGAAGCAGAACAGAGGAGUUCAGAAACUCUCCCAUGGACCGCAGGUUGGUUUUUCUGGAAGCAGAUGCUGAGAUGCAGUUUGGAGUACAAGAUGUUUAUUAAAGAUCAACACCUGAGGAAGAAAGAUAAGGAAAAGAAGAACUGGGCAGAAAAAGAAGUCCAUCUGUGAGGAAACCUUGGCAAGACCUUGGCUAACCCUCUGUGGCGCUCCAGAGCACAUAUGGCCUACCAGAGCAAUCCCAGGACUGUGUCCUCAUAAGAAGAGGAAGAGACAGAUAGCUGUCUCUUCAUGUACAUGCACCAAGGAAAAGAUAUGCGAACAUAUAGUGAGAAGCGGCCAUCUGCAAGCCAGGAAGAUAGCCCUCGCGAGAACUCCACCAUGCUGGUGUCCCAAUCUCAGACUUCCAUUCUCCAGAAUGUGAAAAAAUACAUUAAAAGUCUGUUGUUUAAGCCA